rnacentral:rRNA from 1 species
UAGGGAAUCUUCGGCAAUGGGGGCAACCCUGACCGAGCAACGCCGCGUGAGUGAAGAAGGUUUUCGGAUCGUAAAGCUCUGUUGUAAGAGAAGAACGUGUGUGAGAGUGGAAAGUUCACACAGUGACGGUAACUUACCAGAAAGGGACGGCUAACUACGUGCCAGCAGCCGCGGUAAUACGUAGGUCCCGAGCGUUGUCCGGAUUUAUUGGGCGUAAAGCGACGGCAGGCGGUUUAAUAAGUCUGAAGUUAAAGGCAGUGGCUUAACCAUUGUUCGCUUUGGAAGCUUUUAAUCUUGAGUGCAGAAGGGGAGAGUAGAAUUCCAUGUGUAGCGGUGAAAUGCGUAGAUAUAUGGAGGAACACCGGUGGCGAAAGCGGCUCUCUGGUCUGUAACUGACGCUGAGGCUCGAAAGCGUGGGGAGCAAACAGG